rnacentral:rRNA from 1 species
AUGGCAAGAAGAGGAGGUUCUGCAGCAGCUGUGUGCAGAGAUGCGGAUGGAAACUAUAUGGGCAGUUCGGCUCUAGUGAUCGACAGAGUGGAAGACCCGGCCACACUUGAAGCUAUAGCUUGCCGGGAGGCAUUAUCCUUUGCGGAAGACAUGGGCAUUCAGAAUUUUGUUAUCGCAUCAGAUUGUCAACAAGUCGUUUCAGAUAUCAACAGGAGGUCACACGGGACGUAUGGAGCGAUUAUCGCGGAAGUAAACCUUAGAGCUUCUUUCUUUCAAUGUAUUUUUUCUUUUGAGAGUCGUGCUGUGAAUUAUGAAGCACAUAGUUUAGCCAAGUUCUCCCUCUCGAGAGGUUCAGGAUGCCACGUCUGGUUUGGCGCUCCUUAUGACCAGAGAUAUAUCCCACUUCAUGUGGAAUUUACUGAAUAA